UACGUAGGGGGCAAGCGUUGUCCGGAAUUAUUGGGCGUAAAGAGCUUGUAGGCGGUUUGUCGCGUCUGCUGUGAAAUCUCAAGGCUCAACCUUGAGCUUGCAGUGGGUACGGGGCAGACUAGAGUGAUGUAGGGGAGACGUGGAAUUCCUGGUGUGAGCGGUGGAAAUGACGCAGAGUAUCAGGAGGAACACCGAUGGCGAAGGCAGGUCUCUGGGCAUUAACUGACGCUGAGGAGCGAAAGCAUGGGGAG
rnacentral:rRNA from 1 species